rnacentral:rRNA from 1 species
GACGAACGCUGGCGGCGUGCUUAACACAUGCAAGUCGAGCGAGGCCCCUCCUUCGGGAGGGUGUCCUAGCGGCGAACGGGUGAGUAACACGUGGGCAACCUGCCCUCAGCUCUGGGAUAACUCCGGGAAACCGGGGCUAAUACCGGAUACGACCUCCACGGGCAUCUGCGGAGGUGGAAAGUUUUUCGGCUGAGGAUGGGCCCGCGGCCUAUCAGCUAGUUGGUGGGGUAGUGGCCCACCAAGGCGACGACGGGUAGCCGGCCUGAGAGGGCGACCGGCCACACUGGGACUGAGACACGGCCCAGACUCCUACGGGAGGCAGCAGUGGGGAAUAUUGCGUAAUGGGCGAAAGCCUGACGCAGCGACGCCGCGUGAGGGACGAAGGCCUUCGGGUUGUAAACCUCUUUCAGCAGGGACGAAGCGAAAGUGACGGUACCUGCAGAAGAAGCACCGGCCAACUACGUG